UUCGCUUCGGCAGUCGAUCGCGGCGCGAGCACACGAACCUGCUCAGGUACGACAUCUUGACGUUUUCCUCGUGUAUCAAGUGCAAUGGAAACGGCAAGGCCGAACGUCUCGUAAACACGUGCAAUCAUUGUUCCUCGUAAUUAAAACUUACCUCCGUCGAUACUCGAGCGCGUUACCUUUGUAGUGGCCACGCGACGCAGGGAUCUCGUGUCUGGAAGAUAAAUCUUGGCAGCGACUCGCUAUUUUCCGACAUCUCGGAAAACACGCCGAGGGAAGCGAUCGUAUCGAGCGCAAGCAUGUCACGUUCGAUCAGACACAAAGCGCUCGUCCUCGCGAUUCUUUGUGGACUGGUGACGGGUUCGCAGAGCGACACCGUGGGACAUAGAAAGGACAGCAGGUUGUCGGGUGACCGUGAUAUAGUGUUCCCUGACGAGAUCAAUGCAGGAGCGUUAGACCUUCCGAUCGUGCCUCCGCCUUCACCCGAAGACGUCGAUAAAUCAGUGGUACCACUGGAAUUAGCCAAAAAGAUGAGUUCUGUCCAAACGGUCGAGGAGUUCCUUCAGUUAGUCAAAGGUGUACCUCCAGUACAGAAUACCUUCUCUAUCCAAAGUAAAAUCGGAGAAACCGAGGAACGAUCAAACGCAGAGAUACCAGUUCCAGCAACGUGUAAACCUGAAUUACAAACAGUUCAACUACACCCCGACACCGACACGACCAGCAUAUUUUUCCCCACCUGUAUACGAAUCAACAGAUGCGGUGGUUGUUGCUAUAAUUCCUUGCUCUCCUGUCAGCCAACGGCAACAGUGACACGAAAUUUCGAGAUUUACGUGAUGAGUGCCGACCACUACAAAGGAUUACUGUAUAGGAGUAAACGUAUCGUACCAGUAGAAGAGCACACGGAAUGCGAGUGCAACUGCCAAGUAAAGGAGGAGCAUUGUAACAAAAAGCAGACUUAUGUACCUGAGUCGUGUGAAUGCCAAUGCAACAACGUUGACGAAAAGAAGAAAUGCAACGAGAGCGACAAGAAAAUCUGGAAUUCAGACCUUUGUAGCUGCUCAUGUAGAGAAGUACGGCAGUGUACUACUGGCUUAUAUUUCGACCAAAAUACGUGCAGGUGUGAGCUGAAUGAAUAGGACUACUAUGGGAAUUAAACCUUACUGCACCAUACUGUCUUGCAUAUCCUAUGUAAGCAAACACAACUAUCUAGACCUUGGAUACCUACAAGAAGAGUCGAUUAUGGAUUUGAGUAUACAGAAAAAUCG
rnacentral:misc_RNA from 1 species